rnacentral:rRNA from 1 species
AGUUAGCCGUGGCUUAUUCCUCAGGUACCGUCAUUAUCGUCCCUGAGAAAAGAGGUUUACAACCCGAAGGCCUUCAUCCCUCACGCGGCGUUGCUGCUUCAGGGUUUCCCCCAUUGAGCAAAAUUCCCGA